GGGCAGUUAGCUCAGUUGGGAGAGCAUCACGUUGACAUCGUGGAGGUCAUUGGUUCAAGUCCAAUACUGCCCA
rnacentral:tRNA from 1 species